AUUAUGUAUAGGCUGCUUGUCUUUGCCGUGGACGACACUAAAGACCUCUAAGUUAAAGUAGCUCUCUUAGCAGAACGAGAGCCAUAAUGGAUCAGGAAAUUCCAUCAAUGCACCCUGUCUCUCUUUAGUAGGGAGCCGAGGCACCCUUCUAUGACUCAGUCUUGUCACGUUACAGUAUGAGGAACUGCGCAAAAGCAGAUUGAAGCAAAGGAAACUGUGUCGGUAGUAAAUUCUAGGUAUCCUACAUGAAUGUAUUUAUUUCCAAGUAACUCCUGUGGGUAACAAAACGUUGGCUUCCACAUCAAGAAUAAAGUUGUCAAAGUAGAGGCUUGAAAGCAACUUACAAUGAGGUAGAUGUAAAGACCUGUGAUAUUAAAGCGUAUUAAAGGUGAUAAGGAACUUUACCAUCGAAGGAAUCUUCAGUCAUGGCGACUAUGACCAUGGAGCAGAGACGUUUCCCUCGCUGUAUAAGAAAAUCUGCCAUUAAAGUUUUUCAAGAACAAGAAAAGCUACAGUUUCAUCUGCAUUUUUCAUCAACUUGGUUCUCAAGAAACCUUCAAUGAUCAGACGCAAUGAUAUGCUCCUUUGGCGUGGUAGCGAGUGGAGAUAAUCUAUGAACUGCUGAAAGACUACUUUUUCCUCAAAAAGUGGAUUUUUCCACCUACCUACACGAAAGUCGUAAAAUGUCCACUCAAUUAGGGCUCAGACUGAAAAAGAAAUUAAUUAAUUAAUUUAAACUGACUCAAAAACACUUCCGGAUUGAACAGCUUCGAUUAACUUCCCACCGUUCCGACAAUGAACAGCAGUGGCUA